rnacentral:rRNA from 1 species
AGUGGGGAAUAUUGCACAAUGGGCGCAAGCCUGAUGCAGCAACGCCGCGUGAGCGAUGAAGGCCUUCGGGUCGUAAAGCUCUGUCCUCAAGGAAGAAUAAAUGACGGUACUUGAGGAGGAAGCCCCGGCUAACUACGUGCCAGCAGCCGCGGUAAUACGUAGGGGGCAAGCGUUAUCCGGAAUCACUGGGCGUAAAGGGUGCGUAGGCGGUUUUUCAAGUCAGAAGUGAAAGGCUAUGGCUCAACCAUAGUAAGCUUUUGAAACUGUAAAACUUGAGUGCAGGAGAGGAAAGUGGAAUUCCUAGUGUAGAGGUGAAAUUCGUAGAUAUUAGGAGGAACACCAGUGGCGAAGGCGACUUUCUGGACUGUAACUGACGCUGAGGCACGAAAGCGUGGGGAGCGAA